UGAGCCUAUGGAACAGGUUGCCCAGAGAAGUUGUGGAAUGGACCUAUGUCACAAAGUGACAGGGACUCUCCAAACUACCCAUUUUGGGCACCAUUUCUUAGGGCAAAGCUGCCUCAUCCUGGCUUAAUCCUCCAUAUGUAACAAGUGAUUUCCCAAACACUGGUGCUCAGCAGACCAGCCACUAGGACACCAAAGGCAUGCACAGAGAAUAUUCAGCCUUGAAGGGAAGCAGGAAUCAGGAACAUCAGACUGAAUCUUAUUUUUAAGGGUACCUUUCAAAAUUAAUGGUCAUGUUGCAGUGCUGCCUUGUGACAUUCAAGAUCUCACUAUGAAUCCAUCACAAGAUCAAACCACAAUAUAACUAUUGAGUCGCUACGCUGAGACUAACGCGCAAACAUACAUUAAACAAUGAUAUCUGAAGGAGACGGGACCAGAUGUUGCACCUUAGAGCCAUUUUUAAGGGACAGGAUGAGCAGCCUUCCCUUAAACAUGCUGUAGUGCAAGAUCUUCCAGGAGGUGGCAAUGGAUGACACUGAAUGACACCUAUCGCCACUAACACACAGAUGCACAGAGAUGGAUAAUUCCCAAAAGAAGCCAGUGCACAGUGGCAAAGGCCCCUCCUCUGAUUCGAAUUUCAGUGUUAAUAAAACACUUCUUAAAACAAUGCCUAUAGGACCCUAAAUCAUCUUCAAGGUGGCACUGCGAAACACCAGCAUUCCCUCUGCCAAAACUGGCAUUACCAUCAGUGCUGGAAUAGGAGAAAAAUUCUAGCAGUAAGCAUGUUGCAGUGACAACAUGGAUGCUGGAAACAGACGGGAGUCAGUCUGAUAACAAGUAAGGGAAGGCCAAGAUCUUCUUCCACAUGCAUACCAGCAUCCAGCACCUUUUUUGGGGAGCAGAGGCCAGAGGAGAAACAAGUGGCUGUGUUCGCUGGUCCUGCCAACUCCUAAGUGCCUUCCCCUCUACACCUCACCAGACAGGGGAGGAAGAUACCAAGUCGUAAGCAGAAAUCCAGCUCCACGACUGCAGGAUGUCCAGUGCUGGGAUGCUGCAGCAAAUUGCAGAGGAGCAGGAAGAAAGCAGCCUUCAGCAAGGCCUUCCUCUUCCCAGCAACUUGAAGGAGGAGCCCCACUUUGGCUUCAGUCCAGCCCUGCCCAGUGAUAAUUUCUAAUCCAGCAUCCGAGGGAUUACAGCACAUUAGAGAAGACAGAUGGCAACGCAAAGGCAGAGAAGUCUUAUUGCUUGGCUGUAGCCUGUGCUUCCCAAGGUUAUGUGUCACCCAGUGCUGGCUUUGCUCUUGCAAGAGUGGGAUUUUCAAUUUUAUGAGUUUGCAGUGGUCUGGGGCUCAGGUGAAAAUUUAUGCAUGUAUGUGUUGUUUAUUUUAAUCUGCUUUUUUCUUCUUUUUAAGACAGGCCAGAAAUAUUAGGUCUAAGCUUCCUAAUAUUUGCCAAGGACGUUGUGUGUGAGUAAAUGAAACAGAGAUAUCACACGGAGCAAAACUGAGGGCUGAGCCAGAACACUAAGAAUGAUUGAAAAUUUAACUCUCUGGUUUAUGUAAAUGCUUAUUUAAACCACUUACCUGACAAAUGUUUGGCUUUUUCAGAAAGUCAAUGCAAUUUUCAGAUGAAGACAGUGAAACUUCAUGGUACAGCUUUCCGGAAGCCCUCAAGCAAAGCCUGAGAGACAGCUUCCUGAUAUUUUUCAUAUUAAGAAGAAGCAGAGAAAAACUAAGCUACAAAGAUAAACCCUACUCCAGAGAAUUUCAGGUGCUCCUGGAUAAUAACACAAUCAGCAGCAGCACCACAGCAACCUUCACAAACCAGCGAUGGAUCUGAGAAGAGCACAGAAAUGUAAUAAAAGUAACAUCUCUGCUUCUAACAGCAGCACAUUCUUACUUUUCUGAGACACCUCUAAAACAAGGUAAACUGAACAAACAUGAGUCACAGCACUUGGCUCUCUCUAGGCUGUGCAGAUCUUGGCAAAAUCAUUCCCUUUCCUACCCAUAGUCUCACCUGCUGCUAGACAAGGACGUCCCCUUCCUGAGACAUAUUUGAGACCUAUAGAUGAGCAUGUAUUUUGAUAGGUCCACAGCAGGGAAGAACAAGUGGCACCUUCUCAUUUUGCAUGGCAUAGAUACAGCUCCCCUUUCUGCCUGCUCAGUGACACUGUUGGUCAUAUCCAGUACUGGGGUGGCACAGGCUUUCUGCACAACUCCAAGCAUUC